rnacentral:sRNA from 1 species
CUUGGUCAUUUAGAGGAAGUAAAAGUCGUAACAAGGUUUCCGUAGGUGAACCUGCGGAAGGAUCAUUACCCAGAGUUUGUAGACUUCGGUCUGCUACCUCUUACCCAUGUCUUUUGAGUACCUUCGUUUCCUCGGCGGGUCCGCCCGCCGAUUGGACAACAUUCAAACCCUUUGCAGUUGCAAUCAGCGUCUGAAAAAACAUAAUAGUUACAACUUUCAACAACGGAUCUCUUGGUUCUGGCAUCGAUGAAGAACGCAGCGAAAUGCGAUAAGUAGUGUGAAUUGCAGGAUUCAGUGAAUCAUCGAAUCUUUGAACGCACAUUGCGCCCCUUGGUAUUCCAUGGGGCAUGCCUGUUCGAGCGUCAUUUGUACCUUCAAGCUCUGCUUGGUGUUGGGUGUUUGUCUCGCCUCUGCGUGUAGACUCGCCUUAAAACAAUUGGCAGCCGGCGUAUUGAUUUCGGAGCGCAGUACAUCUCGCGCUUUGCACUCAUAACGACGACGUCCAAAAGUACAUUUUUACACUCUUGACCUCGGAUCAGGUAGGGAUACCCGCUGAACUUAAGCAUAUCAAUAAGCGGAGGAAAAGAAACCAACAGGGAUUGCCCUAGUAACGGCGAGUGAAGCGGCAACAGCUCAAAUUUGAAAUCUGGCGUCUUUGGCGUCCGAGUUGUAAUUUGCAGAGGGCGCUUUGGCAUUGGCAGCGGUCCAAGUUCCUUGGAACAGGACGUCACAGAGGGUGAGAAUCCCGUACGUGGUCGCUAGCCUUUACCGUGUAAAGCCCCUUCGACGAGUCGAGUUGUUUGGGAAU